rnacentral:rRNA from 1 species
AACAUGUCUUUAAGAAAAUAAUUUAAAGUYUAAUYUGCUCCAUGAUGAAAAUUAAAUAGCUGCAGAAUUUUAACUGUACAAAGGUAGCAUAAUCAAUAGUUUUUUAAUUGAAAGCUGGUAUGAAUGAUUUGAUAAAAUAAAUAUUGUCUCAAAUUUAAUAAAAUUAAAAUUUUUUUUUUAGUAAAAAUACUAAAUUGAAUUUAAAAGACGAGAAGACCCUAUAGAUUUUUAUAUUUGGUAUUAAAUUAAUUUAAAUUAAAUAAUAAAUUUUAAUAUAAAAAUAUUUGGUUGGGGAAAUUAUUAAAUUAAAAAAAUUUUAAUAUAUAAUGAAACAAUAAUUAUUGAAUAAUUGAUCUUAAAAAUUUAAAUUAUAAGAAUAAAUUACCUUAGGGAUAACAGCGUAAUUUUUUUUGAGAGAUCUUAUUGAUAAAAAAGUUUGCGACCUCGAUGUUGAAUUAAGAUUAAAUUUUAAUGAAGAAGUUAAAAAUUUUUGGUCUGUUCGACCAUUAAAAUCUUACGUGAUCUGA